CUGCCAGACCCGACUGCUAUCAGAGUAGGACUAAGCCAUGCGAGUCAACGCCGUAAGGCGUGGCAUACGGCUCAGUAACACGUAGUCAACAUGCCCAAAGGACGUGGAUAACCUCGGGAAACUGAGGAUAAACCGCGAUAGGCCAAGGUUUCUGGAAUGAGCCAUGGCCGAAAUCUAUAUGGCCUUUGGAUUGGACUGCGGCCGAUCAGGCUGUUGGUGAGGUAAUGGCCCACCAAACCUGUAACCGGUACGGGCUUUGAGAGAAGGAGCCCGGAGAUGGGCACUGAGACAAGGGCCCAGGCCCUAUGGGGCGCAGCAGGCGCGAAACCUCUGCCAAUAGGCGAAAGCUUGACAGGGUUACUCUGAAUGAUGCCC
rnacentral:rRNA from 1 species